rnacentral:rRNA from 1 species
AGGACGAACGCUGGCGGCGUGCCUAACACAUGCAAGUCGAGCGAGGAGAUUCCUCGGGAUGAUCCUAGCGGCGGACGGGUGAGUAACACGUGGGCAACCUGCCUCAUAGAGAGGAAUAGCCUUCCGAAAGGGAGAUUAAUACCUCAUAACAUUGCAGUUUCGCAUGAAACAGCAAUUAAAGGAGCAAUCCGCUAUGAGAUGGGCCCGCGGCGCAUUAGCUAGUUGGUGAGGUAACGGCUCACCAAGGCGACGAUGCGUAGCCGACCUGAGAGGGUGAUCGGCCACAUUGGGACUGAGACACGGCCCAGACUCCUACGGGAGGCAGCAGUGGGGAAUAUUGCACAAUGGGGGAAACCCUGAUGCAGCAACGCCGCGUGAGUGAUGACGGCCUUCGGGUUGUAAAGCUCUGUCUUCAGGGACGAUAAUGACGGUACCUGAGGAGGAAGCCACGGCUAACUACGUGCCAGCCGCCGC